UACGUAGGGUGCGAGCGUUGUCCGGAAUUACUGGGCGUAAAGAGCUCGUAGGUGGUUUGUUGCGUUGUCCGUGAAAACUCACAACUCAAUUGUGGGCGUGCGGGCGAUACGGGCAGACUGGAGUACUGCAGGGGAGACUGGAAUUCCUGGUGUAGCGGUGGAAUGCGCAGAUAUCAGGAGGAACACCGGUGGCGAAGGCGGGUCUCUGGGCAGUAACUGACGCUGAGGAGCGAAAGCGUGGGGAGCGAACAGG
rnacentral:rRNA from 1 species